CCGCUCCUUCCAGCAGGCCAUCAUGAGGCGGUGGAGCUCCUCCGGGCAGCCGUCCGGACGCGACAUCCUGAAGGAGCGCUCCAGGUUGCGGAUCACCUCCGGGUUCGUCAUUCCUGCGGACGUCGGCGAGGGGAGGUGACGAUUUCCAUCAGGAGGAUCCCGAACGACCACACGUCCGACUUGAUGCUGAAGGUGCCGUAAUGGAUGGCCUCGGGAGCCGUCCACUUGAUGGGAAAUUUCGCGCCUGCUCGUCACAACGAGGGUGAGAAGCCGUCGCGCUAUUGAGGCCCGACGGCGCUUCCGCCAAGACAAUCCAUGUACGCUAACUACCUCGGAACGCUUGCGUUCAAAGCUCACUGGAGCCAUUUUGACUUCAACCAGUCAAAGUGUGAUGAAUGUGUGGGUUUUAAUGCCCAAAUCCUACCAAAUGUUUUAUGUAUAUAUAUAGAGAUAGAUAGAUAUACAUAUAUAAUUGCUCAUAAUAAUGUGCUUAUAUAUGUUAGGGGAAAAAAAAAGCUCUUUGGGGGGAAGAAAAAGAAAACAGUUAAUGGAUACACGUCAUUCAAGAUUGUAUAUCAAUUUGUUUUGUGGAGGUUUCACCUCAAAAUACUUGAUGAAAAGAUAUACUAUUUUUAUAUUUAUUUAUUUAUUUAUUUAUUAAAAAGUAAAGAAAUUAUACAAGUUUCUAGUGUUGGAAAUAAUGUUGUGGUGUUUUUGUUUCGAUUUUGUUUACUUUUUAAUCACGAGAAAUAUGCAUUUUCUUUCCCCCCCCCCAACAAAUACGAUGCUGUGUUUGAAAUGCGUGCCUCAUUUGGAAGCUAAAGCCACGCAAUUUCU